AGACAAAUAUCGACCAAAGUUCUCUGUUGAUCCAGACGGACCUGAACAGCGUCGCUCUAAUGAAGAGAAAUUCAGAGAUGAGAAAGCAGCAGUUUUUCUCUUCUAACCGGCAGGAUGUUCUUCAUCGCUUUCAGUCGAUGAUUCAGAAUGAGACUGGAACACAAAACUCUAAUAUUUUCCUGUGAAAACACUGUGUUUGUAAGUUCAUGACUGUCACUGCACUGAACUGUGUUAAACUGGGGCAGAACUGUCCUUCUGUUUCAGCUGCUGUUCAUGGCAGAGUUUUAUCAGUUGUGACUUCACUUUAUUCUGACAUCUUUAAACGUGUCAUUACUUUACUUCCGUUCAGAAGCUGUUUUUAUCCAAGUGUCUCGUUCAUGAUCUCUGUUUUUGAGCUGCAUGAAGCACAUGAUCAGCAGGGAUUCAUGUCUGUAUUAUUUGAUUCUGGUGAACUCUUAGUGAAGGUCAUGAAAGUGGAUUUACUACAUUACACCUGAAAGUGUUCUCAGAUCAAAUGUAGUCUUAAAUGUUUUUGCAAUGCUCAAUAAAUAUUUAAUUUAGCUAACAGA